rnacentral:rRNA from 1 species
CAGUAGCCGCGGUAAUACGGAGGGUGCAAGCGUUAUCCGGAUUUAUUGGGUUUAAAGGGUCCGUAGGCGGACUUAUAAGUCAGUGGUGAAAGCCUGUCGCUUAACGAUAGAACUGCCAUUGAUACUGUAAGUCUUGAGUAUAUUUGAGGUAGCUGGAAUAAGUAGUGUAGCGGUGAAAUGCAUAGAUAUUACUUAGAACAACAAUUGCGAAGGCAGGUUACCAAGAUAUAACUGACGCUGAGGGACGAAAGCGUGGGUAGCGAACAGGAUUAGAUACCCCGGUAGUCCCUGUCUCUUAUAA